rnacentral:rRNA from 1 species
CGGGAAUAUUGCGCAAUGGACGGAAGUCUGACGCAGCGGCGCCGCGUGAGCGAUGAAGGCCUUCGGGUUGUAAAGCUCUGUCCUUGGGGAAGAAGGUCUUCGGACUUGACGGUACCCAAGAAGAAAGCCCCGGCUAACUACGUGCCAGCAGCCGCGGUAAUACGUAGGGGGCGAGCGUUGUCCGGAAUUACUGGGCGUAAAGGGUGCGUAGGCGGCCCUUUAAGUCAGAUGUGAAAGCCCGCAGCUUAACUGCGGAAUUGCAUUUGAAACUGGAGGGCUUGAGUGUCGGAGAGGGUAGUGGAAUUCCCAGUGUAGCGGUGAAAUGCGUAGAUAUUGGGAGGAACACCAGUGGCGAAGGCGACUGCCUGGACGAUAACUGACGCUGAGGCUCGAAAGCGUGGGGAGCAAAC